GUGGGGAAUAUUGCGCAAUGGGGGAAACCCUGACGCAGCGACGCCGCGUGAGCGAUGAAGGCCUUCGGGUCGUAAAGCUCUGUCGGGUGGGAAGAACCCUUCCGGGGUUAACAGCCUCGGGAGCUGACGGUACCACCAAAGGAAGCACCGGCUAACUACGUGCCAGCAGCCGCGGUAAUACGUAGGGUGCGAGCGUUGUUCGGAAUCACUGGGCGUAAAGGGCGUGUAGGCGGCCUGGUAAGUCGGGAGUGAAAUCCCACGGCUCAACCGUGGAAUUGCUCUCGAUACUGCCUGGCUUGAGUACGGGAGAGGAAGGCGGAAUUCCCAGUGUAGAGGUGAAAUUCGUAGAUAUUGGGAAGAACACCGGUGGCGAAGGCGGCCUUCUGGACCGAUACUGACGCUGAGGCGCGAAAGCGUGGGGAGCAAACAGGAUUAGAUACCCUGGUAGUCC
rnacentral:rRNA from 1 species